AAAUGGGGGCAAAAACAAAAGUGUUGCAUUUAUAUUUUUGGACAGUAUAGUUACCAAUGCAACAAGGGUACGAGCAUUAUUUGUAAAAAUAUUAUUUAUCUUUACCUCUACAUUCUUGCACAUGAGGAUUUUUAUAAGAUGCUAGUUAGCACAGCGUCCAUAAUCCUGUCUUAAAGCUGAAAUGGUUGCUUAAAUAGGGGUUUACUUCAUUGUCUUCAGCAGUCAGAGUUCGAUGGGGUUUCACCUUAGGACAGGUGCACUACUGAAGUCUAACUUCUCCGUCUCCAUCGCUCUUCUGGUAUUGACGUAAAAACUCUCGCGCCCAUCAUUUACUGGAGUAAUUUCUGGUCACGUGUUUUUCCUUGCAACGUUUUCUUUUUUUUUACUCAGUAACGGAUGUGAUUUUAAAUAUAACAAAGUACAAUACAUCACACAAAUCAUACUUAAGUACAAGUAAAAUUACAGAUUUUAAAAGCUACUUAAAAAAGUACAAGUACACAAAAAACCUACUCAAUACAGUAACGCGAGUAAAUGUAACUCGUUAGUUUCCACCUCUGAUAACAAUAUAUACAAAAUAUUAGGGUAACAUUUGAAUGCUUGCUGUAAUCAGAACACAUGGAAACAAUCCAAAACUAGCCUAAAAUAUUAAUAAUAAAUUGAGUUAUAAACUGUAGUGCUUACCAUUGUGUGAACUGUUGCGUACUUGAUGUACUUCUAAUUCAACCUGUUCGAGGUAAUCAAAUGAUUGUCCAUGCAUCUCGUCGGGAAAGAUCCUGACUGGAUGACAGGUCUGGUGCAUGGUCCAUGGCACACUGUUUGUUUAUGGACUUUUUUCCCUAACGCCAUUUCUGUUGUACCGUUUUUUAUGAUCAAAGUAUCGUGGGUGUGACAGUUCAUUGUCACGAUGUUCACAAUAUCGCCGCUUAUCUUUUCCUCUUUGGUUUGGAUCCAUCAUCCACAGAUUUGCCAAAAAAUCUUUCUGUGUUUAAAUGCUCCCGUGGCAAGUUCUUCCUUGAUAUGUCAUCUUGCAUGUGAUGAGCCUCGACCAAUCAAGUGCUCACAGUCACAGUGAUGCGGCAGAUUCGUCCUAUCACAAACUAGGUUUACGGAAGAAUGCGCAACACUAGAAUAUAUAAACACUCACCCCCGAGACUCCUCAGCUGGGACGUGGUCUAAUUGAUCGAAACACUUCGACAAUCCCCUCAACAGACAACAAGGUGCUGCUUUCAGCUAUCAGUGGGCUAUCUCGUCAGCAAAGCGAGUUUGCUACUGAUGUCUCCUGGGAUUCGAUCCGUCAGCUACAUAAUUUGGAAUGACAUGCUAGACAUAAAAUGAAACCAUGCACAGAAAUUUCCGGUACAGCCUACCAGAGCUAGCCAAUGUGGCUGCUGCUAAUAAAACACCAGAGGAGGAAGAGGCUGUUUGAGGCCAGGCACAGCAUACUGGCUGCGGACGAGGUGGAUUUCUGGAGGGGUAUAACCGCUGACAUGAUGUCGGAUGAAGAAGGCAUCAUUGAUGGAGUUUCGGAGUGGAUUGUGAGACCUCCAUCAUUUCACAGUCAGGAGCUUAGCAACGUGUGCCACUCUGCAGGCGAGACUGGAAACCAGUAAAAAUUAUACAGCACUACACAACAGACGUCUGCAGUGUGGAUUAGCCUCCGACCGAAUGGCACCAUAAAACUAUGACCCAGAGGCAGCUAAAAGGCAUCUGAAACCAAAUGCAAUAGCCCGUCAAAGACUGUAACUUAGUCUCUGGCUAGCUGGUUCUAUGUUGUUUUUUAUGUCGUUUUAUCAAUAAAAGUCUU